UGUUCAGACAUUUACAAGAUCAAAUAAUCACCAAAUGGGAUCUUGUUGGAAGUUCAGGGAAAGGAUGUGUCUCCAAUGCAGGUAUAUGCUCUAUGAGAUUUGGGGCUAACAGAUGAGGUGUAUCAGGAUGCGUCUCCAAUGCAGGUAUAUGCUCUAUGAGAUUUGGGGCUAACAGAUGAGGUGUAUCAGGAUGCGUCUCCAAUGCAGGUAUAUGCUCUAUGAGAUUUGGGGCUAACAGAUGAGGUGUAUCAGGAUGCGUCUCCAAUGCAGGUAUAUGCUCUAUGAGAUUUGGGGCUAACAGAUGAGGUGUAUCAGGAUGCGUCUCCAAUGCAGGUAUAUGCUCUAUGAGAUUUGGGGCUAACAGAUGAGGUGUAUCAGGAUGCGUCUCCAAUGCAGGUAUAUGCUCUAUGAGAUUUGGGGCUAACAGAUGAGGUGUAUCAGGAUGUGUCUCCAAUGCAGGUAUAUGCUCUAUGAGAUUUGGGGCUAACAGAUGAGGUGUAUCAGGAUGUGUCUCCAAUGCAGGUAUAUGCUCUAUGAGAUUUGGGGCUAACAGAUGAGGUGUAUCAGGAUGCGUCUCCAAUGCAGGUAUAUGCUCUAUGAGAUUUGGGGCUAACAGAUGAGGUGUAUCAGGAUGCGUCUCCAAUGCAGGUAUAUGCUCUAUGAGAUUUGGGGCUAACAGAUGAGGUGUAUCAGGAUUUGGAGCCAGUAAUUAAGUUGGGUAUUGUCUCAUAGCUUUGCACUAAAACAGAGUUUAUGAAGACUAGUACAAUAAGGUGUUUUAUUAUUAUACUUUUUCUCCCCAAUUUCGUGGUAUCCAAUUGGUAGUUACAGUCUUGGCUCAUCGCUGCAACUCCCAUAUGGACUCGGGAGAGGUGAAGGGCCCGGGCCUCCACAGGAGUCGCUAGAGUGAGAUGGGACAAGGACAUCCUUGUCAGCCAAACACUGCCCUAACCUGGACGACGCUGGGCCAAUUGUGCGCCGCCCCAUGGAUCGCGGCCGGCUGCAACAGUGCCUGGACUCAAACCAGGAUCUCUAGUGGCACAGCUAGCAACUGCAAUACAGUGCCUUAGACCACUGCGCCACUCAGGAGGCCACAAUAAGGUGUUUGAC